rnacentral:lncRNA from 13 species
AGUAGAAAUGUAAAAUGGUGUACGUAGGGAUAUCACAAAGAUCCCGAAUAGCAUUGACCCUCUGGGAAUGUCAUGUAUUGUCAUGUUGUGUCUUUCUGUCCUUUCCUUUCACCCUGUCUCCCUCUGCUGGUCGUAUUAGGUUACCUUUUCUCCCCCGCUUUCCCCCAGCUGUUCCUUGUCUCCUCCUGACUACCUCGUCACCCCUUUUCCCACCUGUUCCCUUUUUCCCUCUGAUUAGUCCCCUAUAUCUCUCUCUGUUUUUGUUCCUGUCCUUGUCGGAUUCUUGUUUGUUGUGUUUCAUGCCUGAACCAGACUAUCGUCAUGUUUGCUGUAACCUUGUCGGAUUCUUGUUUGUUUGUGUUUCAUGCCUGAGCCAGACUAUCGUCAUGUUUGCUGUAACCUUGUCCUGUCCUGUCGGAAUCUGCCGGUCUAUCUGAGCCUACCUAUGUUUGGUUAUUAAAGAAGCUCUGUUUAAGUUAGUUCGCUUUUGGGUCCUCAUUCACUCACCUUAACAGAAGAAUCCGACCAAGAAUGGACCCAGCGACUUCGGAUCCUCUCCACUCAGCCGUCGGGAUCCAGGGAGCGAUGCUAGGCAGA